rnacentral:tRNA from 1 species
CAGGGAGACAACAAAAUGUUUAAUAUUAUUAUUUUGUCACCUUAGGUCGAUCGGUAUCUCACGUUCUUAAUUUAUUAAGAAUUUCAUUUCCUAAGUUUUUCUAGGUCACACCCAUUAUUUUCCUGGGCCAUUAGCUCAGGUGGUUAGAGCGCACCCCUGAUAAGGGUGAGGUCCCUGGUUCAAGUCCAGGAUGGCCCAUAUCUCUAUGUUGGGGGUAUAGCUCAGUUGGUAGAGCGCCUGCUUUGCAAGCAGGAUGUCAGCGGUUCGAGUCCGCUUACCUCCACUGAUUACCACCUCUUCCAUAAUCUGUAGAAAGGAAAAUUUUUUGAGUUGUGAUCAUUAUUCUGAACGAAUCUAGCUUCCUAAUGAAAUUAUUAAGAUGCUGGACUCAUUGAAUUAAUUUCAUUGUUUUCAGAGAACCUUGACAACUGCAUAGAUUAUUUUAAAGACAAUAAGCAUCUUUAAUGAUGCAGAUUUAUUAUUUUUGCAAAUGCAUUAAUAACAAUUCUAUUAAGCUGAUGCUUCAAUUAUGAACUUAUU